GGAGGUGGCGGGCCCCGCGCGGGCCGCUGGGACCCCCGCUCGCUCGGGCUUGCUAGGACGCACCCCCCUCGCAGGUCGCUUUAAUUACAUUUGUUCCUGUCCUUCGUGAGGGCGAGACUUCGGCACAGCCCGCUGAGGACUGGGGGGGUAGGAGCAUCCUUCGACCCCAGGAUGCGAGGAAGAAGGAACCUGUCCCUGAGCUGCGCGACCCCAAAGCCGCUGUUUUCUCCGACCUCAACUGUGCUGUGGAACCACCAGGGGGCGGCGCGACCCUGUUGGUCGCCAAGAGGAUCUCUGCGAGUCCUCGCCCAGGCUGUGACUUGUCGCCUCCAACGCCUGGUCUCCGCGUGGCGGGUGUCCUCUGUUACGCUUGGAGCCUUCCCUUCCUGGACUGAGAAAAGAAAAUACAGCCCAACAUCCCUGCCAGCAAACUGUACCAUCCAGAAAAAGAAGAACCUAAUGUAGUAGCACAUCGGUGA